rnacentral:rRNA from 1 species
GGACUACUCGGGUAUCUAAUCCCGUUCGCUCCCCUAGCUUUCGCACCUUAGCGUCAGAUACGAGCCAGGACACUGCCUUCGCCAUUGGUGUUCUUCCGGAUCUCUACGCAUUUCACUGCUCCACCCGGAGUUCCAUGUCCCUCUCUCGCUCUCAAGCUCGCCAGUUUUCGAAAUCGUUCACCGGUUAAGCCGUUGAUUGUCACUUCGAACUUAGCGAACCGCCUGCGUGCGCUUUACGCCCAAUAAUUCCGGACAACGCUUGCCCCCUACGUAUUACCGCGGCGGCUGGCAC